rnacentral:rRNA from 1 species
AACGAACGCUGGCGGCAUGCCUAACACAUGCAAGUCGAACGAGACCUUCGGGUCUAGUGGCGCACGGGUGCGUAACCCGUGGGAACCUGCCCUUAGGUUCGGAAGAUCUCGCCGAAAGGGGUGCUAAUACCGGAUCUAAUCUUCGGUCCAAAGAUUUAUCGCCUUUGGAUGUGCUGGAGUUGGCUUACCUAGUUGGUAGGGUAAAAGCCUACCACGGCGACGUUCCAUAACUGGUCUGAGAGGAAGAUCAGCCACACUGGUACUGAGACACGGCCCAGACUCCUACGGGAGGCAGCAGUGGGGAAUAUUGGACAAUGGGCGAAAGCCUGAUCCAGCAAUGCCGCGUGAGUGAUGAAGGCCUUAGGGUUGUAAAGCUCUUUUACCCGGGAUGAUAAUGACAGUACCGGGAGAAUAAGCUCCGGCUAACUCCGUG